rnacentral:rRNA from 1 species
AUUGAACGCUGGCGGCAGGCUUAACACAUGCAAGUCGAGCGGAGAUGAGGUGCUUGCACCUUAUCUUAGCGGCGGACGGGUGAGUAAUGCUUAGGAAUCUGCCUAUUAGUGGGGGACAACAUUCCGAAAGGAAUGCUAAUACCGCAUACGCCCUACGAGGGAAAGCAGGGGAUCUUCGGACCUUGCGCUAAUAGAUGAGCCUAAGUCGGAUUAGCUAGUUGGUGGGGUAAAGGCCUAUCAAGGCGACGAUCUGUAGCGGGUCUGAGAGGAUGAUCCGCCACACUGGGACUGAGACACGGCCCAGGCUCCUACGGGAGGCAGCAGUGGGGAAUAUUGGACAAUGGGCGGAAGCCUGAUCCAGCCAUGCCGCGUGUGUGAAGAAGGCCUUUUGGUUGUAAAGCACUUUAAGCGAGGAGGAGGCUACCUGGAUUAAUACUCUAGGAUAGUGGACGUUACUCGCAGAAUAAGCACCGGCUAACUCUGUGCCAGCCGCCGCAGUAAUAC